GGUUAAGUGACUAAGCGUACACGGUGGAUGCCUUGGCAGUCAGAGGCGAUGAAAGACGUAGUAACUUGCGAUAAGCCCAGAUUAGGUAGUAACAACCAUUUGAGUCUGGGAUUUCUGAAUGGGGAAACCCACGUGCAUAAGCACGUAUCCUUACCUGAAUACAUAGGGUAAGGAGGCGAACCGGGGGAACUGAAACAUCUAAGUACCCCGAGGAAAAGAAAUCAACCGAGAUUCCGAAAGUAGCGGCGAGCGAAAUUGGACUAGCCCUUAAGCUUUACACGCGUUAGACGAACGGUCUGGAAAGUCCGACGAUACAGGGUGAUAGUCCCGUAGUUGACGACGUGUGUUCAGUGAAAUCGAGUAGGGCGGGACACGUGAUAUCCUGUCUGAAUAUGGGGGGACCAUCCUCCAAGGCUAAAUACUACUGACUGACCGAUAGUGAACCAGUACCGUGAGGGAAAGGCGAAAAGAACCCCUGUGAGGGGAGUGAAAUAGAACCUGAAACCGUGUACGUACAAGCAGUAGGAGCAGGCUUGUCCUGUGACUGCGUACCUUUUGUAUAAUGGGUCAGCGACUUAUAUUCAGUGGCAAGGUUAACCAUCUAGGGGAGCCGUAGGGAAACCGAGUCUUAACUGGGCGUUCAGUCUCUGGAUAUAGACCCGAAACCAGGUGAUCUAGCCAUGGGCAGGUUGAAGGUUGAGUAACAUCAACUGGAGGACCGAACCGACUAAUGUUGAAAAAUUAGCGGAUGACUUGUGGCUAGGGGUGAAAGGCCAAUCAAACCUGGAGAUAGCUGGUUCUCCCCGAAAGCUAUUUAGGUAGCGCCUCGGACGAAUACUACUGGGGGUAGAGCACUGUUAAGGCUAGGGGGUCAUCCCGACUUACCAACCCUUUGCAAACUCCGAAUACCAGUAAGUACUAUCCGGGAGACACACGGCGGGUGCUAACGUCCGUCGUGGAGAGGGAAACAACCCAGACCGCCAGCUAAGGUCCCAAAUUACUACUAAGUGGGAAACGAUGUGGGAAGGCUCAGACAGCCAGGAUGUUGGCUUAGAAGCAGCCAUCAUUUAAAGAAAGCGUAAUAGCUCACUGGUCGAGUCGGCCUGCGCGGAAGAUGUAACGGGGCUAAGUAGUAAACCGAAGCUGCGGCAAUAUACUUUUGUAUAUUGGGUAGGGGAGCGUUCUGUAAGCGGUUGAAGGUGUGUGGUAACGCAUGCUGGACGUAUCAGAAGUGCGAAUGCUGACAUGAGUAACGAUAAAGGGGGUGAAAAACCUCCUCGCCGGAAGACCAAGGGUUCCUGUCCAACGUUAAUCGGGGCAGGGUAAGUCGACCCCUAAGGCGAGGCCGAAAGGCGUAGUCGAUGGGAAACGGGUUAAUAUUCCCGUACUUCUUACAAUUGCGAUGGGGGGACGGAGAAGGCUAGGUGGGCCUGGCGACGGUUGUCCAGGUUCAAGUGCGUAGGCUUGAGAGUUAGGUAAAUCCGGCUCUCUUUAAGGCUGAGACACGACGUCGAGCACCUACGGGUGUGAAGUCAUUGAUGCCAUGCUUCCAGGAAAAGCCUCUAAGCUUCAGAUUGUAAGGAAUCGUACCCCAAACCGACACAGGUGGUCGGGUAGAGAAUACCAAGGCGCUUGAGAGAACUCGGGUGAAGGAACUAGGCAAAAUGGUACCGUAACUUCGGGAGAAGGUACGCUCUCGACGGUGAAGUCCCUCGCGGAUGGAGCUAUUGAGAGUCGCAGAUACCAGGUGGCUGCAACUGUUUAUUAAAAACACAGCACUGUGCAAAAUCGUAAGAUGACGUAUACGGUGUGACGCCUGCCCGGUGCCGGAAGGUUAAUUGAUGGGGUUAGACUUCGGUCGAAGCUCUUGAUCGAAGCCCCGGUAAACGGCGGCCGUAACUAUAACGGUCCUAAGGUAGCGAAAUUCCUUGUCGGGUAAGUUCCGACCUGCACGAAUGGCGUAAUGAUGGCCACGCUGUCUCCACCCGAGACUCAGUGAAAUUGAAAUCGCUGUGAAGAUGCAGUGUACCCGCGGCUAGACGGAAAGACCCCGUGAACCUUUACUACAGCUUGGCACUGAACAUUGACCCUACAUGUGUAGGAUAGGUGGGAGGCUUUGAAGCACGUACGCCAGUAUGUGUGGAGCCGUCCUUGAAAUACCACCCUUGUAGUGUUGAUGUUCUAACGUCGACCCCUAAUCGGGGUUGCGGACAGUGCCUGGUGGGUAGUUUGACUGGGGCGGUCUCCUCCCAAAGAGUAACGGAGGAGCACGAAGGUGGGCUAAUCACGGUUGGACAUCGUGAGGUUAGUGCAAUGGCAUAAGCCCGCUUGACUGCGAGAAUGACAAUUCGAGCAGGUGCGAAAGCAGGUCAUAGUGAUCCGGUGGUUCUGAAUGGAAGGGCCAUCGCUCAACGGAUAAAAGGUACUCCGGGGAUAACAGGCUGAUACCGCCCAAGAGUUCAUAUCGACGGCGGUGUUUGGCACCUCGAUGUCGGCUCAUCACAUCCUGGGGCUGAAGUCGGUCCCAAGGGUAUGGCUGUUCGCCAUUUAAAGUGGUACGCGAGCUGGGUUUAGAACGUCGUGAGACAGUUCGGUCCCUAUCUGCCGUGGGCGUUGGAAGAUUGAAGGGGGCUGCUCCUAGUACGAGAGGACCGGAGUGGACGAACCUCUGGUGUUCGGGUUGUGUCGCCAGACGCAUUGCCCGGUAGCUAAGUUCGGAAUCGAUAACCGCUGAAAGCAUCUAAGCGGGAAGCGAGCCCUGAGAUGAGUCUUCCCUGAUACUUUAAGUAUCCUAAAGGGUUGUCGGAGACUACGACGUUGAUAGGUCAGGUGUGUAAGUGCUGUGAGGCAUUGAGCUAACUGAUACUAAUUGCCCGUGAGGCUUAACCAU
rnacentral:rRNA from 1 species